rnacentral:rRNA from 1 species
AACGAACGCUGGCGGCAGGCUUAACACAUGCAAGUCGAGCGCCCCGCAAGGGGAGCGGCAGACGGGUGAGUACCGCGUGGGAACGUACCUUUUGGUUCGGAACAACUCCGGGAAACUGGAGCUAAUACCGGAUAAGCCCUAACGGGGAAAGAUUUAUCGCCGAAAGAUCGGCCCGCGUCUGAUUAGCUAGUUGGUGAGGUAACGGCUCACCAAGGCGACGAUCAGUAGCUGGUCUGAGAGGAUGAUCAGCCACACUGGGACUGAGACACGGCCCAGACUCCCACGGGGGGGAGCAGGGGGGAAAUUGGGACAAGGGGCGCAAGCCUGAUCCACCCAUGCCGGGGGGGGGAUUAAGGCCUUAGGGUUGUAAAGCUCUUUUGUCCGGGAAGAUAAUGCCGUGCCCGGAAAAAAAACCCCCGGCAAAUUUCGG